rnacentral:rRNA from 1 species
UAGAGUUUGAUCAUGGCUCAGGAUGAACGCUAGCGACAGGCCUAACACAUGCAAGUCGAGGGGCAUCGGGGCGAGGAGCAAUCCUUGCCGCCGGCGACCGGCGCACGGGUGAGUAACGCGUAUGCGACCUGCCCGUUGCAGGGGGAUAAUCGGGAGAAAUCCCGUCUAAUACCGCGUAAUGCCGCGGGGCUGCAUGGCCCUGCGGCCAAAGGGAGCGAUUCCGGCAACGGAUGGGCAUGCGUGACAUUAGCUAGUUGGCGGGGCAACGGCCCACCAAGGCGACGAUGUCUAGGGGUUCUGAGAGGAAGGUCCCCCACACUGGUACUGAGACACGGACCAGACUCCUACGGGAGGCAGCAGUGAGGAAUAUUGGUCAAUGGGAGAGAUCCUGAACCAGCCAAGCCGCGUGAGGGAAGACGGCCCUAUGGGUUGUAAACCUCUUUUGUCGGAGAACAAAACCCGGGACGUGUCCCGGACUGCGUGUAUCCGAAGAAAAAGCAUCGGCUAACUCCGUGCCAGCAGCCGCGGUAAUACGGAGGAUGCGAGCGUUAUCCGGAUUUAUUGGGUUUAAAGGGUGCGCAGGCGGAAGAUCAAGUCAGCGGUAAAAUUGAGAGGCUCAACCUCUUCGAGCCGUUGAAACUGGUUUUCUUGAGUGAGCGAGAAGUAUGCGGAAUGCGUGGUGUAGCGGUGAAAUGCAUAGAUAUCACGCAGAACUCCGAUUGCGAAGGCAGCAUACCGGCGCUCAACUGACGCUCAUGCACGAAAGUGUGGGUAUCGAACAGGAUUAGAUACCCUGGUAGUCCACACAGUAAACGAUGAAUACUAAUUGUUCGGGGAGAAUGAUCCCUGAGUGAUACAGCGAAAGCGUUAAGUAUUCCACCUGGGGAGUA